ensembl:lncRNA
CUAAAUCCUCUCAUUGGUCGAGCCCCAAACUGACAAACACCGGCUCUCUAACCCGUUCACGUCAAGUCACAUGACAGCAGACAGUGAUGGAAUGUGAGGAAAAACAUUUCAUUUCUCUGUCGGAUUCUCUCCACAUUGUUGUCACACACUUUAAAUAACAACCUGAUGAAUACGUCGCAGCCUGUGCUCCUUCAAUAUGGGACCAAUUUCCACAAAUAACAUUUUGAUUAUUUUGUUAUUGCUGCAUUCCAGCUGCCUUUGAUGAUGCCGCAAUCAAUCAUUGUGUAAAGCAGCAAUGCAUUAAAAUCUGGAUCUCCCCCUGAACGUAUGGAACCACACGGCUUCCCCUCUGGUUACAACCUCCACCCCCCCAACAGACACACUUAGUGAGAUAAAGUGAAGCAGACACUAAUCAGAUGCACCCAGAAAGGUCAAGGCGCUCCCAUUUCCACGAGGAGUCUGUCGAUGCCUAAACAUAUUACUUAAAGGAUCAAACCUGAUAACCUCUUUCCCACCUGCGUGCGAUUGGUCCACUCAUAUCAAUAGCGCUCACGCCGUUACUGUGACCCCAUCCUUCACGAGAGGCGUAUGCAUUAUUCACAGCUUGCGUUUCUGCAUCUUUGCAUAAUCACGGGCGUCUGACCUCCAAAGAAAGUGCUGGAAUCUUCUUUGAUGACUGAGACACGAGGAGAAUUAUUGAGUGAGAUGAUAAAAGACAAAGUGUCAACAAUCAAAACAAAGACUAAACGCAUUACAGUCAAUUGAGACUUUUGAUUAUAAUCUUGCUCGUAAUCAAUCGCUCUCACGUCAAACACUUGAGAAAUCCAGUAGGACAUUUUUGGUUUUAUCGAAAUAUCUCACCUGACCUUUCGUCUACAUUCCCGUGAUUGGUUCAAAAUACCAAAGUCAAUCACAGUAAGCCCCGCCCUAAAGCAUCCCCUGCUUUAUGGUCUAAUAGAGACCUGUCAAUCAGCGUUAAGCCCCGCCCUAAAGCAUCCCCUGCUUGAUGGUCUGUUUGACUCUAAAUGGACCAUCAUUUACUAAAUAAACGUUAUGCUGUAUAGAAGAAGAAUUGGAACUAGAGAUUUAGACCAUAAACUCAUGUUUACAAUGUUUAUUGGAAAUAAAUCAAGACAGAAGUAGUUUCCUCAUAGACGUCUAUGGGAGCAGAGGAGUCGCCCCCUGCUGGUCACUACAGAGAAGUAGAGUCAUUUCCUCAUAGACGUCUAUGGGACCUGAGGAGUCGCCCCCUGCUGGUCACUACACAGAAUGCAGCUUUUAGACACUUUCACAUCGGCUUCACUUUUGAUUUAUUAGUUUAUCCAUUAGUUAAUCCAAACAUGCAACCGGAAUCCCUCCUUUUGAACACACACACACACACACACAUUCAGUGUCCCUCUCACACUACAAUCCGUAUUCAUGUCAGUCUUUGCUCCGAUUCUAAUGUCUAAAUAUUCUGACGAAUACAACGUUCUUUGGUUCUUUGGAAGGAGAGUUCUGUUAUACGACGCUCACAUAUUGUCAUUAUGUCAUUAGUAUUAUUCUCAGUGGAAUAAAAUGGUCUGAAAAUUGUAAUAAUAUUGUUUUAUCACAAAUAAUGUUGACGCAAUACACAACACACAAUAGAUACCGUGACUGGUUGUCAGUGUCUUUCAGGGAGAGGACAGCGUCAGGAAGAAGCCACCAGCUGAGCGCGAGCGGCUCGGUUGGGCCUUUCAGCUGAGCCGAGGGUUUAAUCCAUAAUGGCGUGCUGUGGGGGGGUCGGGGGCUCGCAGGGGGACCCUGCAGGGGGGUGAAGUGUGAGGAGACCACAGACCUCCCUCGUGUCCCAAUAUGGAAAAGAUGUGUGUUUCACACGAAUUAGAAAGAGAGAAUCAUUACGCGGCUGCAUAUUUUUGCUCGGUUAAUAACCUUUCACGUAUCGGCCGCACGCUCGUGAUCGAAUCAAUGGCCGCCGUCUGCACGUUACGGCUUCGCAAUGGGCCCCAGAGGGCCGGAGGGAGUGGGAAAAAGAACCGAUAAGAGUAUCAACGCAAUCCUGACCCCCCCCCCCCCUCAAAGACGGGACGCUCGGCAUGAACUCGUUACUGAAUUGUCUGUUUGGAAGUCACAGGCGUGCAAGAGGUGCAAAAGUGCAUUAAACACGACCUCGCCUUUUAUCACUCAGUUUGGCAGCAUUGUCUUCGGGCUCGUCUCCCAGAAUGCCGCGGCGGCGGCGGCGUUUUAAUCAAAGAGCAUCUCCUCAGCUGUGGGCGCGGCGCUCCGGCGCGUUUCAAACUGAAAUGUCACAGGGGGGGAUUUAGGCUUCGUAUCACGGGAAAGGCUGCCGGGAAAAAGCUUUUGAAUGAAACGCAACCUGGUUGUUGUUGGGACAUGAGAUAAACACCGACGACGACCCCCGACCCCCCACGGCCCCCCACAUGAGAACUACAUAAAAUACAGUUCUCUUUCCAGAAGGCGGAGCCACGUGAAUAACCACGCGUGUGACACAUGAAGAGGAACCAUGACGUUGAGGCGGUCACUUGUUUUAUAGCUUCAUAGCCGUCCAUAUUUUCUACAAGUGGUUUCUGAUUUUCAUGCCGUAAAAGCAGGAAAAGGCUAUUUCGUUGAUUUGCUCUGGAUCGGCGCUUCCUGUGUCGCAGCGUGCUUUCAGACACAGAUUCUCAGCGUGCGGUCGAGGAGGAAAAA